GAAAGCGUAGCUCAGUUGGUAGAGCAACGGACUUUUAAUCCGUAGGUCGUGGGUUCAAGUCCCACCGCUUUCA
rnacentral:tRNA from 1 species